AAGAGUAUGCAUAAUAUUUGUAGAAGGAUAAUAUACUUUUGACAACAUUAUUUUUUACAAUAUUUUAACCUCAUUUAUGUAUUAUUAUAUGAUUGGUCUAUAUUAAAUUUUUUGAUUAUUUUUAUUGAUUUUGAAGUCAUUUUAAACCAAUAACAUGAUACACUCAUGAUGUUAAAAUAUUGUAAAAAAAUUGUUAAGAAAGUAUCAUUAUCCUUA
rnacentral:lncRNA from 1 species